rnacentral:rRNA from 1 species
AUUGAACGCUGGCGGCAGGCUUAACACAUGCAAGUCGAGCGGGGUGAUGGUGCUUGCACUAUCACUUAGCGGCGGACGGGUGAGUAAUGCUUAGGAAUCUGCCUAUUAGUGGGGGACAACAUCUCGAAAGGGAUGCUAAUACCGCAUACGUCCUACGGGAGAAAGCAGGGGAUCACUUGUGACCUUGCGCUAAUAGAUGAGCCUAAGUCGGAUUAGCUAGUUGGUGGGGUAAAGGCCUACCAAGGCGACGAUCUGUAGCGGGUCUGAGAGGAUGAUCCGCCACACUGGGACUGAGACACGGCCCAGACUCCUACGGGAGGCAGCAGUGGGGAAUAUUGGACAAUGGGGGGAACCCUGAUCCAGCCAUGCCGCGUGUGUGAAGAAGGCCUUAUGGUUGUAAAGCACUUUAAGCGAGGAGGAGGCUACUUUAGUUAAUACCUAGAGAUAGUGGACGUUACUCGCAGAAUAAGCACCGGCUAACUCUGUGCCAGCCGCCGCAGUAA